rnacentral:rRNA from 1 species
UACGGGGGGGGCAAGCGUUGUUCGGAAUUACUGGGCGUAAAGGGCUCGUAGGCGGCCAACUAAGUCCGACGUGAAAUCCCAAGGCUUAACCUUGGAACUGCGUCGGAUACUGGAUGGCUUGAAUUCGGGAGAGGGAUGCAGAAUUCCAGGUGUAGCGGUGAAAUGCGUAGAUAUCAGGAAGAACACCAAUGGCGAAGGCAGCUCUCUGGGACGGUACUGACGCUGAGACGCGAAAGCGUGGGGAGCGAACAGG